rnacentral:rRNA from 1 species
AGAGUUUGAUCCUGGCUCAGAUUGAACGCUGGCGGAAUGCUUUACACAUGCAAGUCGAGCGGCAGCSCGGGGCAACCUGGCGGCGAGCGGCGAACGGGUGAGUAAUGCAUCGGAACAUGUCCAUUCGUGGGGGAUAGCCCGGCGAAAGCCGGAUUAAUACCGCAUACGCCCGAGAGGGGAAAGCCGGGGACCGCAAGGCCUGGCGCGAAUGGGUUGGCCGAUGUCCGAUUAGCUAGUUGGCGGGGUAAAGGCCCACCAAGGCGAUGAUCGGUAGCUGGUCUGAGAGGAUGAUCAGCCACACUGGGACUGAGACACGGCCCAGACUCCUACGGGAGGCAGCAGUGGGGAAUUUUGGACAAUGGGGGCAACCCUGAUCCAGCCAUUCCGCGUGAGUGAAGAAGGCCUUCGGGUUGUAAAGCUCUUUUGUCCGGAGCGAAACGGUUAGCGUGAAUAUCGCUGACUACUGACGGUACCGGAAGAAUAAGCACCGGCUAACUACGUGCCAGCAGCCGCGGUAAUAC